rnacentral:rRNA from 1 species
UACGAAGGGGGCUAGCGUUGUUCGGAAUUACUGGGCGUAAAGCGCACGUAGGCGGGUUUGUAAGUAGAGGGUGAAAUCCCAGGGCUCAACCCUGGAACUGCCUUCUAAACUGCAAGCCUGGAGGUCAGGAGAGGCGAGUGGAAUACCGAGUGUAGAGGUGAAAUUCGUAGAUAUUCGGUGGAACACCAGUGGCGAAGGCGACUCGCUGGACUGAUACUGACGCUGAGGUGCGAAAGCGUGGGGAGCAAACAGG